rnacentral:rRNA from 1 species
AUUGAACGCUGGCGGCAGGCCUAACACAUGCAAGUCGAGCGCGCGUCGGACGGGGGAGUAAUGUAUGUGGACUCUCCGUGAUAGGGGGAUAUCUAUUGUAAACGGUAUCUAAUACCGCAUAUUCUCUGAUUACCCAUAUGGGAUUAGCUAGUAGGUGAGGUAAUGGCUCACCUAGGCGACGAUCCCUCGCUGGUCUGAGAGGAUGAUCAGCCACACGGGGACUGAGACACGGCCCAGACUCCUAGGGAGGCAGCAGUGGGGAAUAUUGCACAAUGGGCGCAAGCCUGAUGCAGCCAUGCCGCGUGGAUGAAGAAGGCCCUAGGGUUGUAAAGUACUUUCAGUCGGGAGGCGUUACCGACAGAAGAAGCACCGGCUAACUCCGUGCCAGCCGCCGCGGUAAUAC